rnacentral:rRNA from 1 species
CCAUGCAAGUCGAGCGAAGUGCUUGGAGAUGAUUUUUUCGGAAUGAUUCACCAAGUAUCUUAGCGGCGGACGGGUGAGUAACGCGUGAGAAACCUGCCUUUCACAAAGGGAUAGCCUCGGGAAACUGGGAUUAAUACCUUAUGAAACUGUAUUACCGCAUGGUAGAACAGUCAAAGCGCUUAAGCGGUGAAAGAUGGUCUCGCGUCCCAUUAGCUAGUUGGUGAGAUAAAAGCCCACCAAGGCGACGAUGGGUAGCCGGCCUGAGAGGGUGACCGGCCACACUGGAACUGAGACACGGUCCAGACUCCUACGGGAGGCAGCAGUGGGGAAUAUUGCACAAUGGAGGGAACUCUGAUGCAGCGACGCCGCGUGAGUGAUGAAGGCUUUCGAGUCGUAAAACUCUGUCCUUGGGGACGAUAAUGACGGUACCCAAGGAGGAAGCCCCGGCUAACUACGUGCCAGCAGCCGCGGUAAUACGUAGGGGGCGAGCGUUGUCCGGAAUUAUUGGGCGUAAAGGGUUCGCAGGCGGCCGAUUAAGUCAGAUGUGAAAUCCCACGGCUUAACCGUGGUAAGCAUUUGAAACUGAUUGGCUUGAGUUAAGGAGAGGAAUGUGGAAUUCCUAGUGUAGCGGUGAAAUGCGUAGAUAUUAGGAGGAAUACCAGUGGCGAAGGCGACUUUCUGGACUUAUACUGACGCUGAUGCUCGAAGGUGCGGGUAUCGAACAGGAUUAGAUACCCUGGUAGUCCGCACAGUAAACUAUGGACACUCGCUGUCGGCGAUAUACUGUC